GGAGGAGAGAGAAAGAAGCAGCUGACUCCUGCUCUCUCACCAAGGAGACUAGCAUGCUGAGGAGAAGGAUGUGUAGCACUGUCCUCCCUGACUCUGUCCAGGGCCCCACCCUGCUCUGGUGGGUUGCUGUGUUUGUCCUGGGAACAAGUGCAGCAAGUUCUGGGGUUGUCCAGUCUCCAAGACACAUCAUCAAAGAAAAGGGAGGAGGGUCCUUCCUGAAAUGUAUUCCCAUGUCUGGACACAGCAAUGUUCUCUGGUACCAACAGACCCUGGGGCGUGAGCUGAAGUUCCUCAUUGGGCACUAUGAAACACUGGAGAGAGAUAAAGGAGACAUGCCUGAGCGGUUCUCAGUGCAGCAGUUCAGUGACUACCGUUCUGAGAUGAACAUGAGCGCCUUGGAGCUGGAGGACUCUGCUGUGUACUUCUGUGCCAGCUCACCACAGCCUUACAGGAAGACAUGGAAGCUGCAGUCACCCAAAGCCCAAGAAACAAGGUGACAGUAGCAGGAGCAAAUGUGACAUUGAGCUGUCACCAGACUUACAACCACAAUAACAUGUUCUGGUACCGACAGGACUUGGGGCAUGGACUGAGGCUGAUCCAUUACUCAUAUGGUGCUCGCCAAACUGAGAAAGGAGAUGUUCCAGAUGGGUACAAGGCCUCCAGACCAAGCCAAGAGAACUUCUCGCUCAUUCUGGAGUUGGCUUCCCUCUCUCAGACAGCUGUGUACUUCUGUGCUAGCAGUGAUGCACAGUGAUGUGUGGCUGCCUGCCCUCAGCACAUAAAGUAC